rnacentral:lncRNA from 10 species
GAAGUCCUUCUUGCCGUACUGGUGAGGCUUCAGGAACUGACUGCAGGUGUUCACGCCAAUAUCUAUGCCGGGAAGCCCUUUUACUCCUCUGUUCUGCAAAGCUCUCAAAAAUGCAUUUAUAAAAGGAUAAAGGAGGACCCGCAGAAUCAUCAGGAGCACUCAGCUUCCAGGAAUAAGAUCCAGAACCUCAGAACCGGCUUGACGAGGAAAUAGAAGCUGCUACCAACGCUCCUGCCCCUGUUCUGCCAAUGCUCCUCUGGGGCAGGAACUCAUCCUGCAGCUACUAGUAAACCAUGAUCCCCAUGGAAGCUGGUCUCUGCCACCAUUCAUGCCAACAGACCUGCCUCCUGCAGGUAAUCCAUGCCAUCCAAUUGCACAC